rnacentral:lncRNA from 1 species
CCAAUCAGCAGAUGUGGGUGGGGCCAGAUAAGAGAAUAAAGGCAGGCUGCCCGAACCAGCAGUGGCAACCCGCUUGGGUCCCCUUCCACGCUGUGCGAGCUUUGUUCUUUCGCUUUUUGCAAUAAAUCUUGCUACUGCUCACUCUUUGGGUCCACGCUGCUUUUAUGAGCUGUAACACUCACCGCGAAGGUCUGCAGCUUCACUCCUGAAGCCAGUGAGACCACGAGCCCACCGGAAGGAACGAACAACUCCAGACGCGCCACCUUAAGAGCUGUAACCCUCACCGCGAAGGUCCACGGCUUCAUUCCUGAGCCAGCGAGACCACGAACCCACCAGAAGGAAGAAACUCCAAACACAUCCGAACAUCAGAAGGAGAAAACUCCAGAUGCGCCACCUUAAGAGCUGUAACACUCACCGCGAGGGUCCGCAGCUUCAUUCUUGAAGUCAGUGAGACCAAGAACCCACCAAUUCUGGACACGCUACCUCGAUCCAGAUGAAGGUACCCCAAGCAGCUUGAGAUGUGAUGAUGGAGACCAGUUUGAGAAGACCCAUCAUCUCUGAUUUCCCUCUGAUUAUGAAGUAAUACAACAAAGCUACAACUCUAGAAUCAUAGAUCCACCACCAGCUUGCUCCCUGCACCUGGAAAAGUGGCAGGCACUCAACAGCUUGUGAGAACAGCCAUUCAGGUGAACCCUGCAAGGCCACAGGGGUGGAGCUGCCCAAGGCCUUGGGAGUCCACCCCUUGCACCAGUGUGCUCUGGAUGUGACACACAGAGUCAAAGAAGAUUAUUUUGGAGCUCUAAGAUUUAUUUACUGCCCUGCUGGAUUUUAGACUUGUGUGGGACCCAUAACUCCUUUCUUUUGGCUGAUUCCUUCCUUCUGGAACAGGAGUGUUUACCCAAUGUCUGCACUCCCAUUGUA